rnacentral:lncRNA from 1 species
GGUCCUGGGGCUCGCGCGCCUGCCCAGGGACCCCCAGAGCUUCAUGGGGGUCAUCGGUCAGUGCAGACCCCUCCCCGGAUCCCCUCUGACCCGCCCUGAAAACCCCAAACCUCCCCCGGGAUCCCAAAACCUCCCCAAACCCUCACAAAUUCCCUCCCCCGGUUCCCCCCCAAAUUCCCUCCUGAACCUCCCCAAAACCCUCCAGAUCCUUCUGGAUCCCCCCAAAUUCAUCCCAAAACCCGGACUGGGGGGGAGAGGGGGCUGGGAAUGGGAUUUGGGGCAGGGAUUUGGGGAAUUUUGGGGGGUCCCCCCACCCCGGGGGCUCUUCGUGACUCCCCCGUCCCCCCCAGACCAAUCUACCCUGGACGAAGCCUCCCUCCAGUUCCGCCGGACACUGGCUCGGGUCAUGGCCCAGGAUAUUCAAGACCAGAAGAUCUACCAGGAGAUGCUCUGGGCCAUGCGGGAGAUCAAGGAGGACUUUGAGCGGAUCAUGAAGCGUUUCCAGAGCCAGGUUUAUUGCCCCAAUAAAUGCGGGCGGAUGGAGGUGUUGUGGAUCGAGUGCAUCUUCUGCAACCUCACCCACUUCGCCUGCAACAGGG